UGUCCUAGUACUACUACAUGGAACCUUUAACUUCAAAAUCGAUUGUCAGUCUUAUAAAUUGGAUACCUCAUUCCAGUGUCAACAAAACAUAUGAUCAUCUCUUUUGUAUCUUCAGUGCCCUUCGGAAGCCCCCUCAUUCCAAGUGUAUGGUCUAUGAUCUUUUAUUAUCGUCCUUUUUCAUGCUUUCUUCAUCCUCUAUUAUCAAAUCAUUCUUGUUAUCCUUCUAGAAAAAUUGAGAGGAAUCACCGAAGAAAACAUUAAGAACAUGCAUCCACAUGGAUGAUGAUAUUAUAACUGAAAUCAACUAAUACAAUGAUUUUCUCACAUAGUGAAAUAUAAGAACUUAUGUUACUAAAGCUAAUACCUCUAACUUAUCUCUGGCAGAAGUUUCAUUGUGCUAAAAGAUUGGUAACUACAUUUCCUUGUAACCAUUCAAAAGCGAAGAAUAUGGAAAUUCGAGGAAGAAAAUAAGGAAAAUUUAAAUUUCUAAAGUUCAAUUGUUUCAAAAGCGGAAAAAUCCAAUACAACCUCCAUUAUAAUCUAGUCAAAGUUCUAUUUUCACAAAGAUCCAUAUUUCAUAUACAAAAUAACAUAAGAAAGUGAAAACAAAAAUCCGUACCUUCACCUCAUACAACUUCCACAAUAAUAGAAAUGAUUGAUUACUUGAGUUACUUUAAUAACAGUUAAGUACAAUUCAACCAUUCGCGAAGUUGAUUUACAGAUCGUCCUGAAAUACCCACCCUGAUUUUAUGGAGUUCAUAGACGUUGAUUCACCUUUUCUCUUAUCUUUUCCCUCUCUAAUCCCUCUUCUGUCAUCAUAAAAUCAAAUGAAAUACACAGUUCAGACUUUUAUUUUAUUUUAUUUUUGUGCUUGUGAAUCAGAACAAUGAAACCCUCAAAGUUGGGAAAGGGUUUGGAUGAGAUUGUGAAAAACGAAGAGUACCUACUCAACUGUGUAUUUCUGUUUGUUGCUUAGAAAGGAAAAAAAUUCAUCCUACACUUUUAAUUGCUUUUU
rnacentral:lncRNA from 1 species